GUAGGUAGCUUAACCUUCGGGGGGGCGCUUACCACUUUGUGAUUCAUGACUGGGGUGAAGUCGUAACAAGGUAACCGUAGGGGAACCUGCGGUUGGAUCACCUCCUUACCUUAAAGAAGC
rnacentral:rRNA from 1 species